AUAGUCGCUGUGGCAAUAGUCAUCGGGGCUUUGCUUGACAUCAUCAGGAGUUAGGAGUUUGACCAAGUCUGGGAGCUGAAAAUAUUCAGCUUCCCUUUUGAGCCUUCCCUUUUCUGGGAAGUGAUCAGGCAGGACCACUUGCUUGUCCCUGAGAUAGUCCAGAAUGUAGCGGAAGAGGAAACCAUCUCUAUCAAUGAAGAACCUUCCCUUGGAGUCCUUAGCUAGAUCACUGGCUGUGUCUCUCUUGGGGGUGAACAUUUUCCACAGCAAGGAGUGGGGGAUGCCCACCAAGGUGGAAUGGCGAGUGAAGUAUACUUGACCACCUACGUUUAGCUCCACCACCUCUGGGAAGGCGUGUAGACCAGCCCCUUGUUCUCUAGGAGGGAGUAAACCAUUACAUAAAGCUUCCAAGCCAUCAGCCAAAUUCAGCUAAAUGCAGCCUGAAAAGAGUAAAACUCCCACCUCUCCGAGCAAAAUACUGGUGUAAGAUAUACAUAAGAUCAGGGAGAAGGGCAAGCUUUUUUCUCCACUGCAGAAGUGACAGAGGGAAAGGCCAUGUCUCUUGGGAGAUCAUCUGGAGCCUAUGGACUGCUCCUUGCCUCUGCUUGACUACCUGGUUCCUGACAUCCUGUGGCUCAUGGACACAGAGCUUUCCCUAUACUCCCUCUUCCCCUCCCAGAAUUUCCCCAACACCUCCCCUUCUCAAUUGUCAACUAGUUACAUGCAGUGUUGUCAAUUUAGCCAUUGGUUGGAAAAUUGAAUUAAAAUUGAAAC